rnacentral:lncRNA from 1 species
UGCAUUCAAAGUCAGUUCUUGAAAUAUGUGUAGUUCUACACUGAACUAAGGAAGUCCAUGUUGUCGUGGAUGUGGUGAGAAAUGGCUCCUUAGCCCUGUGGGUUGUCCCUAUCCUGAUGGUGGCAAGGUGAAGCAUGGUGUGGCGGGAACAGACAUGAGAUGGUGUGUUCCCAGCAGCGGUGGCAUGACAGAGGCUCUCAGCUGUGAGCAGCUGACCUGGCCAGCCAUGGUGACACUGUCUCCUGCUUGCUGCCACUGAGUGACUGGUUCUGCAUGGUGGUGUCAGACUGGAGAAACCAGGAGUGUUACCUGCAAGAGCGGGAAAUGGUUUCCAAAUGUAUAACUGCUGCAUUUCAGGGUGGUUUACUCAUUGGAAGUGGGAAGAUUUUUUGCAUCAGCAGUUUGUAUGUAUUCAGGAAUGGAGAAGGAGCCUGUCAGGGCUCAAAGGGAGGCCUGCAAAGACAGGUGCCCUGUCUCCAGGGCUUGGGGGAAGCUGGAGGAAACAGCUCGUGAGGCUACAAGAGACUGGCCGGUUGCUGGGACAGAGUCUUUCCAAUGCCCUCAUGGAUAUAGAGGCAAAUGCUCCGAAACUGGAGGAUCGGUCGAGUUAG